GAAGACGCUGCAGAACAAGGGGGAAGACUUGGAAAGGUCUUUGAGCGAGUUGAAGGCUGGGGAUUGGUUGUCGAAGCAAGAAUUUGAUAAAAUUUAUGAGGAAUUGAAGAAGGCCAAAAACGGUGAAUUUGAUGAGCGAUUUGCGAAUUUGGAUGAUAUAAGGGCUUAUGCAAGGGAAAUGAUUGAGAGGGAGAUUCAGAA
rnacentral:misc_RNA from 1 species